CAAUAGCGUAUAUUAAAGUUGUUGCAGUUAAAAAGCUCGUAGUUGAAUUUCUGGCGGGCGCGCCGGUCUUCCAAGUGUUGUACUGGGCGCAGUCCGCCAUCCUUGUGGAGAGGGCUCGCAUUGAGUUGCGUGUCGGAUCUGCAUCAUUUACUGUGAAAAAAUUAGAGUGUUUAAAGCAGGCUGUCGCUUGAAUACAUUAGCAUGGAAUAAUAAGAUAGGACUUCGGUCUAUUUUGUUGGUUGCGAACCGAGGUAAUGAUUAAUAGGGAUAGUUGGGGGUAUUCAUAUUUAAUUGUCAGAGGUGAAAUUCUUGGAUUUAUGAAAGAUGAACAACUGCGAAAGCAUUUACCAAGGAUGUCUUCAUUAA
rnacentral:rRNA from 1 species